rnacentral:rRNA from 1 species
ACGCUCGACACCUACGGAGGCAGCAGUGGGGAAUAUUGCACAAUGGGGGAAACCCUGAUGCAGCGACGCCGCGUGAGUGAAGAAGUAUUUCGGUAUGUAAAGCUCUAUCAGCAGGGAAGAAAAUGACGGUACCUGACUAAGAAGCCCCGGCUAACUACGUGCUAGCAGCCGCGGUAAUCUGAGCGGGCUGGCAAGGC